AGAGUUUGAUCCUGGCUCAGGAUGAACGCUAGCGGCAGGCCUAACACAUGCAAGUCGAGGGGUAACAGGGUGCUUGCACCGCUGACGGCCGGCGCACGGGUGCGUAACGCGUAUACAAUCUACCUUCUACAGAGAGAUACCCCAGAGAAAUUUGGAAUAAUACCUCAUAAUAUUAUUGCUCGGCAUCGAGUGACAAUUAAAGUUUCGGCGGUAAAAGAUGAGUAUGCGUCCCAUUAGCUAGUUGGUAAGGUAACGGCUUACCAAGGCAACGAUAGGUAGGGGUCCUGAGAGGGAGAUCCCCCACACUGGUACUGAGACACGGACCAGACUCCUACGGGAGGCAGCAGUGAGGAAUAUUGGUCAAUGGGCGAAAGCCUGAACCAGCCAUGCCGCGUGCAGGAAGACUGCCCUAUGGGUUGUAAACUGCUUUUAUACAGGAAGAAACACUCGGACGUGUCCGAGCUUGACGGUACUGUAUGAAUAAGCACCGGCUAACUCCGUGCCAGCAGCCGCGGUAA
rnacentral:rRNA from 1 species